rnacentral:lncRNA from 10 species
AGUGAACUGGAUUGGAUUAGCCGCUGGUCUUGUCCUUAAAUAAUACAUCCCAGUCUUCAAACCCUACAAGGAAAGUAAAGACAAUUAUUAGGAGAAACUCUGUGAGAAUACUAGACAUUCCACACCAAUAUUUAAAAUACAUUCCUGUCCAGCCGCCCCGUCCAGGAGGGAGGUGUGCCCAACAGCUCAUUGAGAACGGGCCAAGAUGACAAUGGCGGCUUUGUGGAAUAGAAGGGCGGGAAAGGUGGGGAAAAGAUUGAGAAAUCGGAUGGUUGCCGUGUCUGUGUAGAAAGAAGUAGACACGGGAGACUUUUCAUUUUGUUCUGUACUAAGAAAAAUUCUUCUG